rnacentral:rRNA from 1 species
AUGGCUCAGGACGAACGCUGGCGGCGUGCCUAAUACAUGCAAGUCGAGCGAACCGACGGGAGCUUGCUCCCUUAGGUUAGCGGCGGACGGGUGAGUAACACGUGGGUAACCUGCCUGUAAGACUGGGAUAACUCCGGGAAACCGGGGCUAAUACCGGAUGCUUGAUUGAACCGCAUGGUUCAAUUAUAAAAGGUGGCUUUUAGCUACCACUUACAGAUGGACCCGCGGCGCAUUAGCUAGUUGGUGAGGUAACGGCUCACCAAGGCGACGAUGCGUAGCCGACCUGAGAGGGUGAUCGGCCACACUGGGACUGAGACACGGCCCAGACUCCUACGGGAGGCAGCAGUAGGGAAUCUUCCGCAAUGGACGAAAGUCUGACGGAGCAACGCCGCGUGAGUGAUGAAGGUUUUCGGAUCGUAAAACUCUGUUGUUAGGGAAGAACAAGUACCGUUCGAACAGGGCGGUACCUUGACGGUACCUAACCAGAAAGCCACGGCUAACUACGUGCCAGCAGCCGCGGUAAUACGUAGGUGGCAAGCGUUGUCCGGAAUUAUUGGGCGUAAAGCGCGCGCAGGCGGUUUCUUAAGUCUGAUGUGAAAGCCCCCGGCUCAACCGGGGAGGGUCAUUGGAAACUGGGGAACUUGAGUGCAGAAGAGGAGAGUGGAAUUCCACGUGUAGCGGUGAAAUGCGUAGAGAUGUGGAGGAACACCAGUGGCGAAGGCGACUCUCUGGUCUGUAACUGACG